AGUAGCACUCCCAUUUUCUUGCUAAGAAAAUUGAGGCUCAGCAAGGUCAAGAUCUUGCCCUAGGUCACACAAGUCACACAACUGGUAAGGAAAGAAGGAAUGAUGGCCAGGUCUUUCAGACAGCUCACAGCAUGCUCCCUCCCAUGUCCCACUCCUGCCCCUCCACCUUGACCACAAAGCCCACCUAAGGGGGGAUAGCCGACGUUCAGCCACAUCCUCCAGCCAUCAGGUCAGUGACAGUGGAGGCCCUGCUUUGGGUGCAGUCCCUCCUCUGAGCACAAACCUAUUCUCUUCUGAAGGGCAGCAGCUCUGGGAAGAAGGCCAACGAAGGUGGUAUAAGCCAAGACCUGCUGUGUGCGUGUCUGGACCCUAAUUAACAGCCGAGAAGUCCACUUCCCUUGCCAAGAGGACUGGAAAGAUGGAAGAGAUGGAAGCCUCUGUUUCUGACCAAAUCUCCCCAUCCUGGGAGGCCCCCAUCCAGCAUCACAUUCUCCAGGAAGCUGUCCCUGCCUGCCCUGUCUUCCUCUGAGUCCUCCCGACCAGUUUCACAGCUCAGUAACAGAAUUGAAUCCUGUCCAUGCCCUGCCUUGCAGUGAAUCAUGAGGCCUGGGACCAGCAAUUGACUCCUGCCUGCCUCCCCCAGCAUGGCUGGCACAGAGGAUCAUGCACGCCAUGAGGCUUGGAGAGGUCCAGCCCCUGUUCUGACUCCUUUGGGCCUCAGUUUACCACCUGGGGAAGUAGACCCACGGGUGAUACCAACCUUCCAACGGGGAUAAAGAUGUAGAAGACAGCCAGCACGCGGGUGCGCUGGUCCCUCACGAAGAGGUCGCCCAGGACGGUGGGCGCGAUGGUGGAGUAGCUGGCCGAGCCAGUGCCCACGAUGCCCCGGGACAGGAAGAAGAGCCAAGAAUACUGGGCGAGCAGGCACAAGACCACGGUGAGUUCCAGAAAUCACCCAUAGGGCCAGGGACCCGAGGGUUUGUCGGAGGAGCCAAGGGGACCUCAUGACACAGGACCCCAGAGUAGGGAGAGGGGAUCGGGGCUACAGACACCUCUCCACUCCAGGUUCCCAAAGUCAAACGUGUGUCCCCUGCAGCCACCACCUGCCCCCCUGCCCAGGGGAGCCCUUUUCCUGGGUCCCACCAUUGCUAACCAGGCCAGUUCCCCAAGACAGCAGCUGUUACCCCCAGCCCCACCCCCAGCAGAGUCGGGCAGAAAUGAAGCUGGUGCGGCAGUGAGAGGUAGGAGAGAGGGGGCCUCCUGUUAAGAAAGUCCAC
rnacentral:lncRNA from 1 species